rnacentral:rRNA from 1 species
UACGUAGGCAGCAAGCGUUGUUCGGAAUUACUGGGCGUAAAGAGUGUGUAGGUGGUGCUCUAAGUCUGUCGUGAAAUCUCCCGGCUUAACUGGGAGGGUGCGGCGGAAACUGGGGUGCUAGAGUAUGGGAGAGGAAAGCGGAAUUCCUGGUGUAGCGGUGAAAUGCGUAGAUAUCAGGAGGAACACCUGUGGUGUAGACAGCUUUCUGGACCAUUACUGACACUGAGACACGAAAGCGUGGGUAGCAAACAGG